rnacentral:misc_RNA from 1 species
AAACAUCAGAAGAAGAUGGAAGGCACUCAAUGACCACAGAGGCUACACCUGCCAAUGAUCAAGAUAGACAUGGGAUCCAUGAAGAUGAAAUCCAGAUAAGUGGAUCUGAGUCAGAUAAAUCUUCCCUGGAGCCUGAAGAUGUUUCAUGUUCAAGUAAUGAGGAAAAAUGUUUACGACGAAAUGGGAGCAAGCUCUCUGCGGCUGCUGAACCAUUCAAUCCAG